GAUGCUUCUAGACAACUAAUGUUGAAUGAAGAACAGUUGGAAGAUAUGAGGCAGGAACUUGUACGACAAUACCAAGAACAUCAACAGGCAACGGAAUUGUUAAGGCAAGCACAUAUGCGGCAAAUGGAGAGACAGCGAGAAGACCAGGAACAGCUACAAGAAGAGAUUAAGAGACUUAAUAGACAAUUAGCCCAGAAUGGAAAUGAAAACCAAGGAGAAGUUGAAGAACAAACAUUUAAAGAAAAGGAAUUAGACAGAAAACCUGAAGAUGUGCCUCCUGAGAUUUUGUCUAAUGAAAGGUAUACAAAAUGUGUACUUUUUCAGUGCAAAGUAAAUUAAAAUGGUUGUUUCAAUGUAAUAGACUUUGUCCUUAUUUUUAUCUUGUACAUUGAUACUUUGUCUUAAAAAUCAUCAUACCAUCUGUGUAUGAAACAUGUCCAUGUAUGUGUAGUAUGUACAGGAUUUUCAGUUUUUCAUCAUUAAAUAGAUAACAUUUUUUAAAAAUCUUUUCUAUAUAAAUUUUGAUUGGAUAUUAAUCACAUACUUAACUGUUAAUCACCUGAUGUUAGCAAAACUUUUCCUUACUUUGAUUUUGUAGAGGUUAAUAUAAAAAUGUAAAAUAUUAAGUGAGAAUAGUUAUCCUACAUUAGUAUUAAAGACUUUAAGCACAA
rnacentral:sRNA from 1 species